rnacentral:rRNA from 1 species
GACGAACCUUGCUAACGUUAUUCGGAAUUACUGGGCUUAAAGGGUGCGUAGGCGGUGCGGAAAGUCGGGUGUGAAAUCCCCCAGCUCAACUGGGGAAUUGCGCCUGAAACUACCGUGCUCGAGGAAGACAGAGGUACGCGGAACUUAGGGUGGAGCGGUGAAAUGCGUUGAUAUCCGGAGGAACACCGGUGGCGAAGGCGGCUUCCUGGACCGACACUGACGCUGAGGCGCGAAAGCUAGGGGAGCAAACGGG